CUCCAGACUCCUACGGGAGGCAGCAGUGGGGAAUAUUGCACAAUGGGGGAAACCCUGAUGCAGCAACGCCGCGUGAGUGAAGAAGUCAUUCGUGAUGUAAAGCUCUAUCAGCAGGGAAGAAAAUGACGGUACCUGACUAAGAAGCCCCGGCUAACUACGUGCCAGCAGCCGCGGUAAUACGGAGGAUGCGAGCGUUAUCCGGAUUUAUUGGGUUUAAAGGGUGCGCAGGCGGAAUGUCAAGUCAGCGGUAAAAUUGCGGGGCUCAACCCCGUCGUGCCGUUGAAACUGGCGUUCUUGAGUGAGCGAGAAGUAUGCGGAGUGCGUGGUGUAGCGGUGAAAUGCAUAGAUAUCACGCAGAACUCCGAUUGCGAAGGCAGCAUACCGGCGCUCAACUGACGCUCAUGCACGAAAGCGUGGGUAUCGAACAGGAUUAGAUACCCCAGUA
rnacentral:rRNA from 1 species